UUAAAAUAAUUUUUAAAUUUAAAACACUACAUUAAAUGUCAUCAGUCAAAAUUCAUAUGAUCUUAUUAAUAUACAAACUCAAGUUAAAUAGUAUAAAAAAAUAUCAAAUAUUAAAUGCCAAUAUAAAGAUUUAUCAAUUAUCAAAAUUCACAAGAACUUGAUGUAGAUUUACUUCAGUGGGAUCAUCUUCACCUUUAUUUUCACCCUGCUGAGUAAAAGAAUAGAGAAAUGGUAUAAAUUGAUAUUGAUUGGGAUUGUUUUAUUUAGUUUAGCCUUUUUCUAAUUUAAAAGACAUUGAGUUUUUUAUUAGUACAUGAUUCUUGCAGAUUGAUCUUUUGAAUGAUGGGAAGACAAAAUGUUAGAAAGUGGAGUAGAAACUUAAUUCUGGGCAAGAAAUUAUCAUCGAAGUCUAAUUCAUCAAAACCCCAAGAUGUUCUUAAACCUUCAAGUAACAAGGACAUGGUGAUGGUGGUG